rnacentral:rRNA from 1 species
GAUGAACGCUGGCGGCGUGCUUAACACAUGCAAGUCGAACGAGAAAUGGAGACGGAAACCUUCGGGCAGAAGGCUUCAUUUCGAGUGGCGGACGGGUGAGUAACGCGUGGGUAACCUGCCUCAUACAGGGGGAUAACAGUUGGAAACGACUGUUAAUACCGCAUAAGACCACAGCACCGCAUGGUGCGGGGGUAAAAACUCCGGUGGUAUGAGAUGGACCCGCGUUCGAUUAGCCAGUUGGCGGGGUAACGGCCCACCAAAGCGACGAUCGAUAGCCGAUCUGAGAGGAUGACCGGCCACAUUGGGACUGAGACACGGCCCAAACUCCUACGGGAGGCAGCAGUGGGGAAUAUUGCACAAUGGGGGAAACCCUGAUGCAGCGACGCCGCGUGAGUGAAGAAGUACUUCGGUAUGUAAAGCUCUAUCAGCAGGGAAGAAAAUGACGGUACCUGAGUAAGAAGCCCCGGCUAACUACGUG